CUACGGGUUGCUGCAGUGAGGAAUAUUGGACAAUGGUCGAAAGACUGAUCCAGCCAUGCCGCGUGCAGGAUGAAUGCCCUAUGGGUUGUAAACUGCUUUUAUACGGGAAGAACACCACCCACGUGUGGGUGACUGACGGUACCGUAAGAAUAAGGACCGGCUAACUCCGUGCCAGCAGCCGCGGUAAUACGGAGGGUCCAAGCGUUAUCCGGAAUCAUUGGGUUUAAAGGGUCCGUAGGCGGGCUAUUAAGUCAGAGGUGAAAGUUUGCAGCUCAACUGUAAAAUUGCCUUUGAUACUGGUAGUCUUGAGUUAUAGUGAAGUGGUUAGAAUAUGUGGUGUAGCGGUGAAAUGCAUAGAUAUCACAUAGAAUACCAAUUGCGAAGGCAGAUCACUAACUAUAUACUGACGCUGAUGGACGAAAGCGUGGGGAGCGAACGGGAUUAGAUACCCGCGUAGUC
rnacentral:rRNA from 1 species